ACAUCUUUGUUUUCAAUUACAAUUUUUUACAAUAUAAAAUAUCAAAACUAAAAACAAACUAUUAAAAAUAGUUUAUAUAUUUAUAAAUAAUAGCAUUCGACUCUGAUUUUGAGUUAUUUUAAGAAAAUUUCAAACAUAUUGAACAGAUUGAAUUAUAAAAGUUGAUAAUUACUGCAGUAUAUCGAUAUUGGCAACCCUGCGUUGUGAGAGAGCAAUCAGCUGAGACGUUUGCGACGGCAAAAAUCCAAAUGUCGCAGAUUCUCACGUCAUCGUCACGUCAGAGAGAAGGGAGUAGCGUUUUUCACUGUUCAGUUACAUUGCGCGCCCAUAAGAUAGGUCGUGCCAGCUGACACGACCCACGAUUCUGCGUUGUUCACUAACUAGCCUAUAAUUGGGAACACUUAACUGAAAACAGCUAAAAAUGAUUUAAUAUACGAUAUCAUAGUCUGAACCAAUUCCGAUAUUUACCCAUGUUUUGCCAAUGUUUGCGUUAAAGAACAGAAGCAAUAUACUUAAGCUGAGGGUUAGUGACUAAAAUUGUGCUCCAUAGUUAUUGAUGGAAAAAAAGAUUAAUAAAACACUCAAUUAGUCCAAGAUAAUAAGAUAUUCCAUUUAUGUAGCAUGAUUAUUAAAAUGUUCGAGUAGAUUCUACACUGCAGAAUUACAUUUCAUCAGUGAAUAGAUAAUGUGCAUCUUUGCUGUUUGAUUUGCGUUCUCAAUUUCAUAUGAGAAUAGAAGAGUGUAUCAGAAAAAAAUUUGAAAACUCCAGAUAAAUAUCAUUCGUUAACAAUCUAAUUGCAAUUUAAGUGCAUGUUAAAACAAGAAAAAGCAUUACAUUUGGUUUUAGUACCCUUCACCAACAGAAAAGUUUCCACACAAGGCCUGGAUUUGGACCACUGAGUUUGAACGAGGUGUGUUCAAAAAGUAUCGCGAAUUUUGUGUUUUUUCAAAAAUUCAUGAAUAUCUAUUUUGUCCCCUUCAAAGUAAUCCCCAUGAGAUAUUAUACACUUAUGCCAACGGUGCACUUCAAAAAAUCAUUUUUUUUUAUCUUCUUCAGCUCCUCCUUCGAUGCCGUCUUUAUCUUGUCAAGAGAAGCGUAACGUCGUCCUUUCAUGAGCCUCUUCAGUUUAGGGAACAAGAAAAAGUCACAGGUGGCCAGAUCUGGGGAAUACGGUGGCUGCGGCAUCAUUAAUGUGUUGUUUUUGGCCAAAAAGUCGCGCACAAGCAACGAUGUGUGAGCAGGGGCGUUAUCGUGGUGCAAAAGCCAAUUUUUGUUCUUCCACAAAUCGGGCGUUUCUGGCGGAUUGCUUCGCGCAAAUUCGCAUAACUUGCAGGUAAUAUUCCUUAUUGACCGUUCUUCCCUGUGGCAAGAACUCAUGAUGCACCACGCCCCUGCAAUCGAAAAAAACUGUCAGUUACGAUUCGCGAUACUUUUUGAACACACCUCGUAUGACAGCUAUGUAUAUACUAUAUUAGAUGGAUUUGAAUAAUUUAUACAGAGAUUGUACCUCUACUUUGGACAAUAAAUCAUACCGGAUUGUGCAAAGCUGCAUUAUCAAAAAUUGACGGACUUGUUUAGCCAUGGCUCAGCUGGCCCCGCUGAUCAGUUCAAUAUAUAUUUUAUAGUGUCCUUUCGUUUCCUUCGAGAGAUAGCAAACUUCGUGUCGAUUUUAAUAAAUAAAUCGACCUUUAAAUUGGUACGUGAUUCUCCAAGUUGCAUUUCUCGGAAAAAUCCCUCUUCGCUCACGAAAAAGUCGCUACGCGUAUUUAUCCCUUCAAAUGCUACUAAGAGCGCAAACAGCGAAUUCCGUAAACCCGUGGCCCGAAGCAGCUAAUAUGACGUAUCUUAUGGGAGGGCAAUGUAAAUGAUCACCCAACACCGCUUCUACCGUCCUCUUUACCGUAGGAUACCGUAGACUUCCACGUCAUUUGGAUUUUUGCUAUAGAAACGUGUCAGCUGAAACGUGUCACAACGCAGGGUUCCCAGUCUCGAUAUACUGUAGUAAUUAUAAAAAUUGUCUUCAAUACAUUUGAAAUUUUCUUAAACUAUCUCGAAAUCAGAGUCGAAUCCUAUUAUUUACAAAUAUAUAAACUGUUUUUAAUAGUUUGAUUUCAGUUUUGAUAUUUUAUGUUAUGAAAAAUUGUAAUUGAACACUUAGAUGUGUACAAAACUAUAUAUGCGUAUUGAGCAAUGGCAACAUUGUUCAAACGAAAACAAACAAAGAUGGCUGAUUUCUACGGGCUCGACUUUUGACACAUUUCAGCUAAAAUUAUAAGAAAUAAGAUCGUAGAGCAGAAUAUUUCAAAUCCAAAGAAUAUGACUUCUAGCGCCUUGGAAAACGAUGAGGAUUCUAAUGAAGAAAUUAUUCAACCUCGAAAAAUUUAAAUGAUAACGCAUUCCUUUGCAAUUUUAAAUUCCUAUUUAAAUACGAAUAUUAAUACAACUGACGAUCACUACAAAAUUCUCACUGCCUUUGAACAGAUGUUUUUGACAUUCAAGAAUUCACAUCGCUUAAUAUUUAUUAAAAGAAAACAUUGUUCUACAGUAUUUUAUUUUAAAAGCCGUCUUUUUUUUAAUAUUUUCCAUAUAAUGGAACUAAUGGGCACAUUUUUUAUAUAUGAAGUUUAUUUACAUUUUUUUCUCUUUGUAGUGCCUAAAUCAGCUGUGGUAAUGUAAUAGAUUUCCAAUGCUGAAAAGUAGAUGGUGUAAAAUCAGAGUCGCACAGAGAGAUUUAGCGUGGAUCAGUUUCAAACCAUUUCAAUGAAGUGAUUUAGAAUUGUCAUUUUUGUAUGGCGAAAUCUUGAUAAAUUUUUAAGAUUGGUGGAAUAAUCCAUUGAACUUUGUUGUGACUUUAUGAAAUAACAAUGAGCUGAGUGAUAAUUAAUUUAAAAAAGAUUAUAGAGCUUGUAGAAAAAAAGAAAAAAAAAUCUAAACGGGUCUUCAUGACAUCAAAAAUUUGAAGAUCGACAAAAAUUCACGUAAAAUUUUUUGAAAAUACCUUAUGAAAUAAAAAGGUUUUCCUUACAGGUAAUUGGUAUGGAUCUUUCAGUUUGUAUGACUCAUACAUGCUAUAGUAGAUCGAUAUCGUCGGUUCCCACAAGUGAGCAGAUGUUGAGGCAGAACAGUACGUGUGCUAAAUUUCAGAUUGAUAUCUCUAAAACUGAGGGAGUAGUUCACGUAUAUACAGACGAACGGAUAUGACUAAAUCGACUCAGCUCGUCACUUAUAUAUUAUAGGGUUUCUGAAGUUUCCUUCUGGAUUUUACAAGCUUUGUGGCCCACUUAAUAUACUUAUAGCUAUGUACAUAACAGCUAAUUUAACUUUAUACCGCAAUUCGGUAUUUUGAUACAGUCACAAGUCUCUAUCCGGGGUGUUGUGGAAUCCAAAACAGAAUUGUUUAGGUGUCGAAAUUGCAAACCAAUUCUGAUUUUCAAUGGUGUCACAGAAUCUGAUUGGAUUUUCGGGUUUUCGAACAUACGCAAAACCAAUAUUCGAAUCAGCUGUUUACUAAUGUGACAAAACCUGCAAAUGAAUACAUUUGGAAGCAAUCCUAUUAAAGUUUUAAUGAGUUCCGAAUUAAAGAAAGAUUUUAAGAGAUAACAUUUAUCGAAUGAAUAAAGACGCAUUUGGAUGUUAAAUUACGUUUAUUACGUUUUGUAAAUCUUCUUUAAGGGGGAAGCUACUUUAAAAGCUUCAAAAAAUUGAAUUUUUUUUGCUUAAAAAUUAUGUAAAUAUAAAAUAGAAUAUUUCUCCAAAGUUAUAGAUGGGAAUUCGAAAUAUUGUCGAAGCUAGAAGGGAAAUAGUGACCGAGCGUCUAGCAGAUAUAUGAGCGCUUGGGCAGAAAGCGAAAACUUUGGUGCGCGAUUUCUCGGUUUUUCAGUCUAAGAUUUUUCUUAAUUGGCGGGCAGGAUAGAAAAAAAACUAAACAUCGUGUGGAAUUUGGGCAAAUCUUUGACAUUAAAUUGUCCUUUAUUUAAACUAAAAGAACUAAGAAAAGUUAAGUUUGAACAUGUGUUAAAGUAAAAUUUUUUUAGUCAAAAACCACUUUUUUUCAAAUUUUAAAAUUUUCCCUUUUUUUAGUUUUAUUAGUUUAACUUGAACAUAAGUUAUUAAAAGAUUUCGUAUAAAAAAAAAUUGCGGAUGAUGCUUAAAUAAUAAUAUAACUAUAAUAACUAUAAACCCUAGAAACUUCGCUUUAAUCAAUUAUUUCUUUUCCUCCCAAAAAUACUCAAAAAAAAUCGAUUUUUUUGUAAGCCUUUAAUGCAGGCUCCCCUCUUAAAUAUCCGCAUUUUUUUCCAAAACUCAAUAAUUUAGACAUUUCGUGUUUUAUUUUUAUAUUUUCUCUGAUAGAAAUAAAGAUAAAUUAAUUCGUAACAAUAAAAUAACUUGAUUUCUUAACUUACAUUUCAAAUCUGUGUGCGACUAUCUUAUUGAUUUGUUUCUGACACCAAAACCGAUAAAAUUGGUUUACGUGACAGCCAAAACCGAUACAAAUUCUGUUUCGAAUAUCAAAGCAAUAAUCCGCCUUGUCGUAGAAUCCGACUUGGAAUUGGUUUUUGCCGUAAAUGAAAACCGAUAUCGGUUUCAUUUGGUGUCGCGAAGUUCUAUCGGAAUAAGCUUUUUUCGAACAUGAGCAAAACCGAUAUUCGAAUCAGCUGUUCCAUUGAUGUGUUAAAUUAAAUUUACGCUUAUUUGUAAACAAUAGAGCAUUUUUAUAAUAUUUGAACUGUUUUGUGAAAAUUCAAAGAAAAUAACUGAAAUAUAUUAUGGCAGCUGCAAUUGCCAUAUUACUUAUGAUGGAGGAGGAGCAGCAACACAGUUUAAAGCGGCGAAUAUUACGAGAUAAGAGCAACCCUUUCGAGCUGCCGGAGUCAACGUAUACAAAACUUUACUUCAAUGGCUAUGUGUUUAUAACUCACUUAUUUGCAGAUUUAUUGCUCAAUAUCGCUUAAACAAAGAAGCUUUUGUUAUGGUAUUGGACAAAAUUCAGCCACGCUUACGUUCAUCGACGAUUCCCGCAGUGCUUCAACUUGCUGCAACGCUUCGUUUUGUGGCCGAAGGCCCAUAGCCCCCAGCCCCAGCGAUCAGUGGGAAAUGAUACAAACAUAAGUAUUGCAAGAAGCACUAUAUCUGAAGUGCUAACACGAGUGAUAAAAACAUUAGAACAUUCUAUAUGUCAUCAAUGGAUACAACUUGCAAUGGGAGCCAGUGAAAAACAACACUCCAAAGACUAUUUUUAUAACAAAUAUAGAAUUCCUGGCAUCAUUGGCUGCCUCGAUGGAACACAUAUUAAAGUUAUAAAGCUUUCCACUGAUGAACACCUCUACUUUAAUAGAAAAGGAUUCUUCAGUAUGAACGCUAUGAUUUUUCAAAGGUUUGCGACAGUAAUAUGACGAUUCGUGCAGUAGAUACAAGUUAUCCUGGAUGCAGUCAUGAUGCGUUUGUUUGGAGCAUAAGCACCGUUCGACAGCACUUUCUUAGGAAGUACGAAAUUGGCGAUCGAACUUCCAGGUUACUAGGAGACAGUGGAUAUGGUAUUGAACCGUUCUUGUUAACUCCAUACAGAGAUCCUGAAUACGGCUCACUGCAAAAUACUUUUAACAGGGCUCAUUCUUCGGCACGCAAUGUGAUUGAAAGAACGAUAGGCCUUUUAAAAAGUCGCUUUCAAUGCUUACAAGGUACAUUGCAAUAUAACCCACAAAAGGUGGUUAAAAUUGUCAAUGUUUGUUGCGCACUGCACAACAUCUGUCGGUGCUAUAACAUUGAAUGUCCCAAUGUAGAAACUAUCACCGUUUCCACAGAAGUUUACGAGGAAAAUUCUGAAAUUUUAUCACAUGGUAGAAUGCAAAAUGAGGGCCAACGGAUCCGAAACGAAAUACCAAACGCUCUUUAAAUCUAUUGUUCUUUUGUUAAGGCACACAACAUGAAAUUGUUUAUUGAAAUACGUAAAUCCUUAAAUUAAUUAAAUUAUAGAAUUCAUUGUA